rnacentral:rRNA from 1 species
GUGGGGAAUUUUGGACAAUGGGCGCAAGCCUGAUCCAGCAAUGCCACGUGCAGGAAGAAGGCCUUCGGGUUGUAAACUGCUUUUGUACGGAACGAAACGGUCCGGGUUAAUACCCUGGGCUAAUGACGGUACCGUAAGAAUAAGCACCGGCUAACUACGUGCCAGCAGCCGCGGUAAUACGUAGGGUGCAAGCGUUAAUCGGAAUUACUGGGCGUAAAGCGUGCGCAGGCGGUUUUGUAAGACAGGCGUGAAAUCCCCGGGCUCAACCUGGGAAUUGCGCUUGUGACUGCAAGGCUGGAGUGCGGCAGAGGGGGAUGGAAUUCCGCGUGUAGCAGUGAAAUGCGUAGAUAUGCGGAGGAACACCGAUGGCGAAGGCAAUCCCCUGGGCCUGCACUGACGCUCAUGCACGAAAGCGUGGGGAGCAAACAGGAUUAGAAACCCGAGUAGUCC